UCCAUGUAGGAACCAGAUCUAGGGUUUCAGGGUUAGAUCUUGAAAAAGAGGGUUAGAUCUUGAAACUUUUUCAAGAUCAUACAGCGGAAGACUAAAAUAAAUCAAAAUUUAUUUUUUAAGAUCAGAAAAUCCCUAGAUCUAAGAUCCUAUUACAUGAUUAUUACAUAGCAUUAAAUCAAAAAUUAAAAUAUAUAUGAAUAUAGUAUGAACUACAUGUUGAUCAUAUCAACAUGUUUCUAUACUAGCUACAUCUAAUGUAUGUAUUAAAUAAUAGAUCAGAUCUAUUACCUUGCAAGUUAGACGCUCUAACCUCGCUGAUCUGGGCUUAAGGAUGAUGUUGCAAGCUGCACAUGCGUCCGGCCUCUAGGAGUCGUCCACACGAGCCCACGAA
rnacentral:lncRNA from 1 species